UACGUAGGUGGCAAGCGUUGUCCGGAUUUACUGGGCGUAAAGAGCGCGCAGGCGGUCGAUCAAGUCGCGUGUGAAAGCCCCCGGCUCAACUGGGGAGGGUCACGCGAUACUGAUCGACUCGAAGGCAGGAGAGGGUAGUGGAAUUCCCGGUGUAGUGGUGAAAUGCGUAGAUAUCGGGGAGGAACACCAGUGGCGAAGGCGACUACCUGCCUGUUCUUGACGCUGAGGCGCGAAAGCUAGGGGAGCAACGGGG
rnacentral:rRNA from 1 species